AUUGAACGCUGGCGGCAGGCCUAACACAUGCAAGUCGAGCGAGCGGCGGACGGGUGAAUAAUGUCUGGGAAACUGCCUGAUGGCGGGGGAUAACUACUGGAAACGGUAGCUACUCCCGCAUACCAUCAGAUGUGCCCAUAUGGGAUUAGCUUGUAGGUAGGGUAACGGCUCACCCAGGCGACGAUCCCUAGCGGGUCUGAGAGGAUGACCAGCCACACUGGAACUGAGACACGGUCCAGACUCCUACGGGAGGCAGCAGUGGGGAAUCUUGCACAAUGGGCGCAAGCCUGAUGCAGCCAUGCCGCGUGUGUGAAGAAGGCCUUCGGGUUGUAAAGUACUUUCAGCGAGGAGGCGUUACUCACAGAAGAAGCACCGGCUAACUCCGUGCCAGCCGCCGCGGUAAUAC
rnacentral:rRNA from 1 species